AGUGAACGCUGGCGGUAGGCCUAACACAUGCAAGUCGAACGGCAGCACAGUAAGAGCUUGCUCUUACGGGUGGCGAGUGGCGGACGGGUGAGGAAUACAUCGGAAUCUACUUUUUCGUGGGGGAUAACGUAGGGAAACUUACGCUAAUACCGCAUACGACCUACGGGUGAAAGCAGGGGAUCUUCGGACCUUGCGCGAUUGAAUGAGCCGAUGUCGGAUUAGCUAGUUGGCGGGGUAAAGGCCCACCAAGGCGACGAUCCGUAGCUGGUCUGAGAGGAUGAUCAGCCACACUGGAACUGAGAAACGGUCCAGACUCCUACGGGAGGAAGCAGUGGGGAAUAUUGGACAAGGGGGGCAAGCCUGAUCCAGCCAUACCGGGUGGGUGAAGAAGGCCUUCGGGUUGUAAAGCCCUUUUGUUGGGAAAGAAAAGCAGCAGGUUAAUACCCCGCUGUUCUGACGGUACCCAAAGAAUAAGCACCGGCUAACUUCGUG
rnacentral:rRNA from 1 species